rnacentral:tRNA from 1 species
CGCGAGCUAGCUUAACGGCAGAGCGCAUGACUCAUGAUCAUGUAUGUGAGGGUUCGACUCCCUCGCUCGCUA